GCGGAGGCAGAAGCAGAAGCGCAGGGGCAGGAGGCAGGAGAAGAAAUACUUGCCCCAUCCGAUCACGCAGGAGAAGCACCAGCUCAGUCGAGUCAUGUUGACGAGGGACACAGAAGUACUUCUUUGGGAGUUUGGUGCCUCAUGGAAAAAUCACAAGCCCCCUGAGCACCAGGGACAGAGAUACAAGGCUCCAUGGAACGGACCAGAUUCGGAUGCUCAGACACAGGGGACCAUGUAUUAGACGUCAAAACAUGGAAGGGAGAAGCAGAGGAGGAAGAGAAGAAGAGGAGGGGAGAGGAAGGACAAGAAAUGUUUCUCCCAAGGAGGUGAUUCCAGAAGAAGCCAGGAACAAAGCCAGCAGAGACCAGGGUCCGAAUCCUGGCCCUGACCCUUUCCAACUGAGUGACCUUGAAGAAAUUAUUUUCCCUGUUCCCUGAAGAAAUUACUUCUGAGCCUGUUUCCUCUUCUGUAAAAUAAAGACAAGGAUCCUAA